UCCAAAACGUAUUCUUCCUGCAUCUCUUUGCAAAGGUCUGGGGGAGGUGAUGAAGUCUGCUUUUAAAAUGUAAUAACAGUUUUUAAAAUGGUAAUUUGAGAACAUAAAAUACUGAAACUGAUGAACAAGCUAAAAUGACUGUUCUGACAUAGACAAUAUAUCAUUAAUAUAUUUUUACUAAUAGGUAUACACCAAAAUGUUGUAUGAUUCACAGCUACUGUAUGAGCAGCUACACUAUAUAAACUAGACUAGAUGAGAAUGUAGAUGAGAAAACUAUAUAAAUUGCUAGAUGAGAAUGUCAAGCAGUUCCCUCUUCCAGCAUCUACACUAAAAAGGGUCUUUCCAUCUCAGGUUUCAGUGUUCUUAUAAUCUUCCCAUUCUCCUGCUAAAAAUGAAGCUAAACAGCUGAUCUUUUCUUAGACUUCUGGUUAUGAGACAGCACCAAGCUAUACUUGACUCAUGUUUGCUGAACUAAUCAGUUACUGGCCAAUACAAAACAUUUUCAAAGUGUACCCUGAGAAAGAGACGCUUUAUUUUUGAGAUUAAAUUUUCAUCCUAUGAAAUCACAUUCCAGUUAACUACUGACUUUCAGUUUUCAAAGCAUAAGGUAAAAUUCUUUCAGGUUUUACAAUUGCAUCUGACCUGCAUUGACAAGGCUUUAGUGCCAUAUUUUCAUGUUUUGGUCAUUCUCUUAUAUUAAAAACCAUUCAAACAGAAGUGAAUUCAACUACAGUCUUUAUUGUGUAGCUGAAGUGGCAAGGGAUCAAGAAGCAGAACUGUUACUAGGAGAUCUGAGAAACAGUAAUUCACAGUAGCCCCAAAGCCUUUCUGAGUCUGCCUCUGCCAACACUAGUAGGUUUCAAAUGAAAACCCUCAGAGCCACUGUUUUACAAAUGCCAACUUCUUAGCUGUGUUACCCCACACCGGUUGAUCUGGCCAAGAAAAUUAUUGUCCUUAUUUUUCAAUUUUGUCAGGCAUUACUAGUGUGCAUCACCUUGGUAAAAGUGUGAUUUGUGAUUUGCCCUAUUUAAGACCGAAGUAAGAGCAGAAUUUAAAAUAUUUGUGUUCUAAUGCAUGUGGAAGCACAGCAUUCAAACCCAAGGAAACUGAUAGUGGCAGUACCACUACCUUAAGCAGUAGUGGUAUUUCCUGUUUUACAUGUUGCUGAAAUUUACAGUUCAGCAGUAGAAUGCAGAGGAUUGUGAGGAGAUCUUCCAUUACGGACAACGGAGUUCAUUACCACCGUAUUUUUAAUAGAAGUCACCUUGUUAAUAUUAUUAUUUUCUUUGUGCAGGACAAAAACAGUCUAAAUGCCAGCAAUAAGGUCACUCUUCCCAACCACAGAAAAGGAUGGUGCUGUAUCCCCCAAGGAGGAGGGGACUGGCUAAAAAGCAUUUGAAGUGUCACUAUUAUAUCUCAGGUUAUAACUGAUAUUGCAAUCUCUCUGUCUUAAUCCCCCCAAAAAUACCUUAAUCAGAAUGCCUUCUGCUCUCAAUGACAGUUAAGUAACUCAUACAGUAGAUUUAUGUAAAAAAAUAUUGACCAAUUAUAAAUUAACAAUUCAGUGUACAGCUGAUAACCUUUGUUUUCCAAAAGCACAACCCACUCUGAUAAGGUGUAUGAAUGGGUAUAACAGUACAAUUAUACUAGUAUAUGUGAUGCAAAUGCAAGUGUACCGGUAUAUAUAAUUAUACUAGUAGAAGUGCUGAUCUCCUAUCAGCAAUAGAUAAACAGCAGCUCUCCUGUUUGUUGGUGAUGAUGCCACAAAACUGCCCACAGAUUAGCUAGUUUGAGUAGGAGUGGGAGAAUCACUUGUCAGCAAUCUACCUUAUCCUUAUUGUUAAUAAAUACAUAAUUAUUAGAGCUGUUAAAAGAGUAAACACCUUCACUUGUGUUUAUUGAAUGAUUAAGGUUCUGAAGUCAGAAAUUGGAAGUUACUGAAAUGUUAUUCCAACAGAGUUUGUUUAGAUGUUUGUUUAAGGUCAGACAUUAUAGGAAAGUACAACAAAGGAUAGAGAGACUAGGACUUUGGGCAAGAAAGACAGGGGUUUAUAGUGCAUGUUUUUGUCUGGCAUGCUCUCUCCUGUGGAACAUUAUACUUUUUGUGGAUUGUAGUACAUUUUAAAUUUUAAGAGAAGCAUAAAGAGUAAAAGUUCUUCUGGGUUAAAUUACUAGAAACGGAGUGUCUGUUGUGUCUCUAAUUUCAUAACCAGAAUCUAUUGCUCAGCUGAUUCUUUCCAUUUUCGUGGUUGUCAUGUAUUUGCACAGGUAGUUCAUAAACUUCAGCAAUCCAGCAUGGUAAAUUCCUGGCCCUAUGAAAUUCAAUUUGAAAGUCAACUUCAAGCCAUACUACUUCAUUUAGGGUAUUGCCAAAUGGAAGCUGAAAAAUUCUGACAAAGAUAUAUAUAUAAUUUUUUUCAAUAAAAAGAGUUCAUCAUCAUAAAUUAAAAAAUUGAACAGGAAUGAAAAGACAAAACAGAAAACAAUUAUAGCAACUGUUUGCCCAUAAAAAUACCAUGCCCUGCCAUAAAGACUACAGGACUGAAGCCCGAGAGAUGCACACUUCAGUGCAAAGAUAAAUAUACUGUCACUUGGGUUUGCAGAAAGUUUAUAGUAAGAAUACAGUGUAACUGUGUUUCUAAACUGCCAAUUCAAGGCCACAGAGCUUAAAUAUAUUUUGAGUAAUCAAUAUGAAAGCUGUGUAAAGUUGAGCUCAUUUUCCUGAUCUUUGCCACAUAUCAGAAAUUACUGUAACAGACUUAAGACAAUUAUAUGUAGCUUAAAUACAAAAAUUAAAGCAAAACCACCGCCAAAUAUGUGUAAUAAGACAAAACACAUUAAUCUGCUAGUUGUUUUAUAGCAAAACAUAUUUUUUAAUGCUUCUUUAAGAAAAAUUGUAUCAUGGCUUUGAGCACAUCGGCAGGUUCUAAUUGCCAUGAGUAGCCUGUAACCCUCUUUCUCUUUAUGCUUAUUGUGUGAACUCUUCCCCUCACUGAGUGGUUCACUGCUUUUAUUUAAGGCUAAAUCACUUUCCCUUGCCAAAAUGCAACCCUUGCUGCUCACUGGCAUGUUAAUUUGUGACUUGGUACUCCAAAUGUAUGUAAUGAGUCCCCCAAAAAUGUAUCUAAACUUUUAAAUAAAAAUAAAUGUAAAUUUUCUGCAUCUCUUGUGUAUAUUUCACAGUCAUACUAACUUAAAUUGAACAAAUUUUCUUAAGUAUAGCAAAUAGCUUAAUGAAGACUUAUGAAAAAGGUCUGUGAUAGAUAAUUUUUCUCGGUUUCUCUGAAGAAAAGAAAAAACUGCAUUUAGAAAGGGAAGAUCAGGUUUACUUCAGUAGAGUUUGCCUAAGUACAGUACAGUUAGAAGACUGACAACUACUGAUUUGAUAGCAAAUUUCAGUUGCCUUCUAGCAUGCAUGAAUCUGCUGUUAAACUCACCACUUCUUUGGGGUCUGAAUUUCUAUCAAUAAUAAUUUCUGCAUUACAGUAAAGGCAGAUAAAUUUCUAAUUUUAAACUUCUUUUUUUACAAUUAGUAUCAUAUAUGAAACUUUGUAACACAAUGCUGGCAAACAUUUUAUCUGUGUGCAGUUAAAACCUUCUAAAUGUAUUCAGUUUUAUAUAGCACACAUAUACCUAAACAUUGCAAAUCAUCUCGUCUAUUAUAACUAAGUUCCAAAAAAUAUUUGGGGUUGAAGUUCUUUCUAGCUCCUUGGCAGUGACUUGUUAUGCUUCAUUAGAACAAUAAACGUACAAAAUUACUUUAUUUCAAAAAGUCAACUAAAGUCAACUAAAAAAAGUCAACUAAAAUGGAAAGUCAACUAAAAUGUCAAAAUCAGUCCUGAUUGACACAUUCACAUGACACUUUGCUUUGCUUUGCUUUGGAAUUCAUCCUCUAAAGUAUUUAUUCUCUGAUAGAUAUGGAAAACUGUUAGAAUCUCACUGUUUAGCUGUGAGAAUGCACAUGGAUGUCAGACAUGCCAUGGAGCUUCAAUUCUGCACUAGAAAAAGGAGAGGAAUGUAUGUAGGAAUCUGAGAAUCAUAAGUUAGAAUUAUGGAUUUGCCUGGUAUUUGCUAAGUAAUUUUUCUGUCUGUAGUUUAUUUAAAAUGUACACAAAGAGCUUUGUGUCUACUUUUAUGAAACCGAUUCGGAACAGAUUGUGAGUGUUAUUGCAAGCUAUACCAAUGCGGGCAAUGUCACUGUUUACAGUACCACACCUUCAACCAUCCUGCUUUUUUACAAUUCUAGCAUGAGGAGUAGGCAUGGAUUUUCACCAAAUAAGUACGUUUGGAGCAUGAUACAUACUCCAUUUUAUAUCUUGGAAAGGUGAAUAUGUAUGAAUACAAUGAGAGUUAAGGAACUGAAUUUAUGGUUGUAGUACAGACAGUGAUGCUGUCAUCACUGGUUUGCACAGAUUCUGACUGUUGUCAGAAUGAAUUUUUCAGUUACCUCCAAAAAAGUAGAUAAUACUGAAAACACUGGACACAGAAUGAAGGAGGCAUUGUAGAACUCUUACAGUAAUAUAAUCUACCAACAAAGAGAUCACUCAAGGCUGAUAUUUGAGGAUUUAUCUCAGUGUCCUUCUGAAAGGAAAAUUUCAUAAGAAAAAAUGUUCCAUUCUCACCCAAAAUAUUUAUAUCCCAUUUCCAUGUCCUUGAGGCUCCUCCCAAAAGCAUUUUUCCCUGGUAUAAAUUCCUCUUACAGAAUAGGUCCUCUGGCAAUUAUCAUAGAGUAGCUGAGGUGGGAAGAGACGUCCAGAAAUCACUUAGUCAGCUCUGUUCUCCAAGGCAGGCUGAACACAAGUUUUACUCAAAAAAUUUUACACUACUUUUUGCUUGUUAUGAACACCAUCACUUUUUGGCUAAUUCACAGCUGACUUGGAGAUCCAUCGGACCAUCAGUAAAUCUUAAGAGUUCUUCUUUUCAUCUAAUGCAAGAACUGAGGCAGUGAAAAUUCAUAACUUGUUACUUCUGCCUAUUGUUCUUCUGAUGUGCACCUCUAAGAAAAGUUUGGUUCCAUCUUCUCUGCAAUCCCCCUGCAGGGCAUGGUCUAUAGACAUUUAAGUGUCAACAUCUUCCAUUUGACAUUGACCGACCCUGUAGCUCAAAGAGACUGGAACUCAACAUCCCUGACUAUCUUCUAGUGGCAGUAAUCAACUAUUCAACCCAAAAACUUUUGCAAUAAUCUUCUCUGAGUAUUUCACAAAAAAGAAUAAGGGGACAUACUCAGAAGUUAUGAAAUGUGGAAGGUGGAAGUAAGGUGAUAUCAAUAAUAUGGGAGAUUCUUCAGCCUGCUAAAGUGACAAUGUUCAUUGUUACCUUCUGGUACUUCAAGACAUCAGCAAAAAUUAAAUAAAUUAAGAGAAUGCACCUAAGAAGCAAGAAGUUGGUGACCAGCUGUAAAGCCUAGCGUGCUAUUAAAGAGGAGCCUGAAGUCCCUUGGCAGUGAAAGUGAGUACCUUAAUAUUAAAUGUAUGGGAGUGGAAGGCAAGAAGAAACAAUGGCAGCUUGUUUCUGGCUUUUCUAACAUCAGCCUGAAUCACAGAGCCAGUCAGCUGAGGAAAACAUCAUCCACUUCUGGUAAAAAUGUCACAAACAUCCUUGAUACAACUUGUUCCUAAUAUUACGUUGUUGCAACUGCAUCAGGAAUAUAUGUCUUUGGUGUUUAUGUGUGCAAUUAUAUUACACAACAUUUCCUUUUUUGUUGUUGUUGGGGUUUUUGGGCUUUUUUGUUUGGUUUGAUCUUGGUGUCAUUUUUGUGUUCUAGGAAUAUCAGUGUCUUCUACAUCAGGCUUGUCAGACCAUGUAUCUGUUCACAAACUGCUUCCAUUGUGUACCUAUACAGGUUUUGGUUCUGUUCAUAAAUUAACAAUAAUAAUUUUCUGAGUGACUCCAAAAUUUGAUGGAGUUAUCAAGAAAAAGAUACUGAAAAAUAUAUAAAACACACUUAAGUACCCUAUCAGUGUAGCUGUCAUUAUUCUCAAUUUAAUGGAAUGAAAGUUUUAGUAAUUCAAUUAAAGAUUAAUUAAUCAAUUAAUCCAACUAAAAGAUUUCAACUUUUUCCUCUAUUUUGGUUAAAAUGUGUUUUAUUGAGUUUUUUUCCUACUUUCAUAUCUCUGGAAAUGGUACCAUUCUAGAAUAAUUGCAUAAUUCUACAAUAAUUGCAUUUGAUAUUAUUUAAUUUUUUUCUAUCCUCUAACAAGUCUUUGCAUGAUGAUAGCUAUCAAUAACAUCUCUGUUGUCAAAUACUGAAGCCCCUUUUGAGACAAAAGAGUUCAAUUAAAAACAAAAGAGUUCAAUUAAAAACAAAAUAACCCCACAAAUUCCAAAAUGUGCCCUAUUCUCCAUUUUGCGUUUGUUUUUGAGCAUUACCUUUCCUUUGUCUCUCUCUUGAGCUAAAUGUCUAGACUUCCCACUUAAUGAAAUGAGUGUAAACAAUAUAAUCGUAUCAUUUAAAUAUAUAAUAAACCUACUGCAAAUCAGGAUAAAAGUAUUCUUGUAUCAUUAUCAGUAUCAUUAUCAGUAUAUUAUCAGUAUCAUAUCAGUAUAGAUCAUACAGAUCUAAUAUAUUGUUAUGUCUACAGAGAACAGGAUCACAGUAAUAGUACAUUUGAAAAUUUCCUGAGUACUAUACAGGCAAUUGGUGAGUUUUGGUAUUUAAGGAACAUUACCUUCAUGGGAUUGUGAAUCCUUGGUAGAUAUUUCAUGAUGACCAUCUUCAUCUAUAUCAAAAUGCACUAUUUUUGAAUUGUCAGUUAGUAUAUAGCAUUUCGAUGUUUUUCGCAGCCUAAACCCUAAUAAAAAAUGAGUUAUAAUUCAUUUUACUAUCAACAAAGAAAUUACAUCAUUCCAUUAGAAAAAGAUCAAGGGCAUUUUUAACAAUUCUUACUUGAUAGUCUAUGUAUAUUUGAACUAUGAGCAGUAUAGCCAACAUACUAGAAAUUAUCUAGUAUGGGCUUAGGCAGCUGUUUUGAGGACUUGGUAUUGGUGUGAAGAAGGACAAUAAAUAUUUCUUUGCUGAGAAGGUUAUGUCAGUGACCAGGAAACUUGCCUGUUUCCCAGUUUUGCAUUUUGAAUAUUGGAUCUGGGUAUAAAUAGGACUUUUAGGUAAGAGUGCUAGCUAAAAAGCAGCAUUUAGUUUGGGGAUCAGGUAUCUUGUCCUAAAAAAAAAAAAAAAACCAAAAAACAAACCAACAAACCCAAGUCUUUCUAACUAAAAGCUGCCAGGAGGAAAAUUGCUCCCUUUCAUUCCUAAAUGCAACCGUGUUGUUCUGGAUGCCAGAAGAAUGUAUGUCUGGACACCUGGAUAUGAGACACCUCCAGAAUAACACUAAUUAUAGAAAACCUCUUCCACGUGCUUAAUUUUGUUGGAUUUUGCCUUGGAUUGGAAUAUUCUUUUCAAGAUUAUAAACAUAUUUGUCACUGGGGGAAGAGUUACCUGACUUUACAGGAGCUGUUCUCAUACUUGCACGCAGACAUGUCGUCCCCACAGAUCCCCUUCUACGGAGAGGCACUUGAUACGGCAUUAUACGGCCUGAGCGGAGCAGCAUUGCCAAGGCGUUGAAGAAAUACUGAUGAUGAUGAUGAUGAUGAUCUCACUUGACUUCCUUUUUGAGUCCUAAAGUAGGAGUAAGAAUUUGUCACAAGACUUUGUGUUUCCAUUGAGAAACAAGUUUUCAAAUAUAAUUUUGGUAAAUGACAGUUAAUAGAAGUAGAUAGACUCUAAAAAUGUUUGACUGCUUGCAUGAUCCAAGCCUUUGUCUUGCAAAGCAAAAAAACUGUGUUUCCAGUGAUGGUAAAUCAGUUAACUACCUAAACUUUCACUAAGAUGCACGCCAACAUGAUAACACAAUUGUGUUGAACAAAUAUGUUUUGAAAGACUUCCCCUAGGAUAACAUAUAAGCAGUGUUUGUGACUUCAGUUUUUGUUUGUCAAUCAUAGGAAGCUAGCUACAUUUUGCUAACUGAAUUGAAAAAUCACAUUCAUUUUGUGGAUACAGCAUAAGAUAAUUGUCAAAGUAUUAAUAAGUGAUUGAAAAUUAUGCUAAUGACAAAACAGCAUGAUCUGACUCUCAGAGGUGUACAUAGGUAUAUUGCAAUAUCUUAAACUAAGGUUCAGGAAAUCUUGCCUCAGAAAUGAGGACUUGAAUUUGGAAACUUGAGGAAUAUGUUAUAAUUAUUAAGGAAUAUCAGAUUAGAUACCUGAAGGAGAGCUUGAUGUCUAAGAAUGUGAACUGCUUUGACGGUGAAACCACCCAGGCAGCUACUAAGGUAAUCCCAAAGUUGCAAUUUAGAUCACUGCAUUUCAGGAAAGGUAAGGACCUUACUUUGGUUUAAAGAAAGGAAAGCUGAAAUUCUGAAGUCUACAUGCUCUCCUGAAGUCACCUGUUUAUGGCAAGUGUUAAUGGCAAGUGCAGACCAAGGAAAACAACAAGCUUCAAUUCUGUCUGGUAUCUUGGAGAAUGAAACAAGUGAAGAUGGGUACAAUUUUAGCCCCAUGCAGCCUUGCACAGAAUAAUUAAAUAUCUGUCAGACUAGAAAGAUUAAGGCUCUGACACAAGUGUAAUGGUUUGUAAAUUCACCCAAGGAAGAGUAUGGCAGUUCUGUUUUCUGGUUUGGCUCACUUCCCUGAUGCAAAGCUUCGUAUUCAAUUUUUUACAUGAAAUGAAAAACUUCUGCCCUGGCAGUUCUCUUGUCACCAUACUAAAAGGGAUAACUACAGCUCUUAUUCAGUCUCUUCAACUCUAGUUAUAACAACAUUCAGUUAGAUCACUGAAAAGUGAAACAUUUGUUAUAUGGGAUUGCUCUUCCUUGUGAAUAGGGCUCAUAUAAUUAAUGAUAACUUCCAGUCUGAGGUAGAAUGAAAAGGCUGGGUCUCCCACAUCUUGCUGAAACUGCUUUAUCGCUGAGCAUUCUAAACAAAAAAAAACCAAAACAUUCUAUGUGGGUUUUUUUCACUAGGAAAUUGGUCUCUGGAAACUUCCACCUGAAUCGGGCUCUAUGGUGUGUGUGGACAGUAAUGCCACCUUGUGGCUCUUGAGAGAUGUAAGUCUCUAGGGGCUCAUUAGCAAAGACUCAAGACUUUGCUGGGUCUGCGAGGCUCAAAACCACACAAUCAGCUACUCAAGUUUCCUACUUAAAACAAGUGUAAUUCUAGUUUGGCUGCUCUUAAUCAGAAGUUCUGAAGAUCCCAGUUCCUGGUUUUGAUCUAUCUUCAGUCUCGCACCUGCAUUGCUUACACUCGCAACAGUAAGACAAAAAGGAGAAUGUCCUCAAGUCAGGACUGAAGAAUUCCAGAAGAUGGCAGGCCAGUUCAAAGACAUUCUCAGAAACAUGUUUAGGAAGUGGAUAAAUUCUGAAGAAAGUUUCUAUGAUGAACUAUGGACAGGUAACCUUGAUGUUAUGAAGGACUGUACUAAAUCUUAAUUAGUUUGGUUUGUUUAAACAAGUAGAAAAUAGAAAAGUCUGUGGUAGAACUUCACCUCUGUUGGCUCUCCAGAAGCCAAUUAGUUGUUCUCCAGAACAAUUAAAACUCCCUAAAAUAAACAAAACAAGCUUUCACACCUUGAAGAGCCAUAUAUUCCUUAAGACUGUGUGACAUAUAAAUGCUCCCAUUUCAAGAAACCUUUCCUGUCAUUACAUGUUCUUAUACACACAUCACCUAUACCCACAUUUUUCACUCUUUGUCAUAGUCUUUUAUGCCAUGUAUAUCUUCCUAUGUUGAUUUCUUUAUCCUAAUGUCUUUCAUACCUAUUUCUUCAGUCAUUUUCUCUCUUCUGUAAGGUAUACAUUGAAGUGGACUAAGAAGACACUGCAGAAGUGUCAACCACUAUUUUCAUAACUUGGUUCUGAUUAGUUUCAUUUUGCAUCCAAACUAUGUAUAAAGGAAUUAAAGUUUUUUAAACUGCUGAAAUUAGCAGCAGUCUAAUUACUCUAAAGAAAUUAAUGAGUAUGUUUGUGGCCAAAGAAAACAAGAUCAUACUAAAAGCAGAAGAAAUUUCUUUUUUACCACUACAUGGAUUAUAUUAAUUCAUUGAUAUGAAGACAGCAAAGAAAACCUGUUAUAUAGCCUCUCUUGCUCCCAUUGUGAUCUUGCUUGUUCUCUCUUUCAUCUAACCCCAAGAUACAUGUGAUCAUAAAAUUAAAUUAAAUCAAAUUCAGUACAUAAAAACAACAUUUAAAACUGUGGAAUUCAUACAUGUGGUGGUAUGUUCCAAAUAUUACCUCAUACCAUGUUGACAAAUUCCUAACAUAUGUCUAAGAUCCUUGUAGGGUCAGAACUGUUUUAGUCAAGUGAAUUGGGUCGUAGCUGUCAGGCCUGCUAGCAGAGGUAGUAAUUCCUCCAGGUUUAUCCAAUUUAAAAGUGGAUUAAAAAAGAAUUUUUGGCAUCCUCUAGCUAAUAAAAGAUGAGGUUAUAGUGUCCUUCAAACCAGGCUUUACAAAAUCUAUGAUCUAAACUAGCAGGAGUACACAAAAAUGAACAUAAACUAGAUUAAGAAAGAGAUUUCUUAAGAAAACUUUAGGUCAACUGAAACAAUCACUCAUAAAAUUUCAAGAAAGAGUCUGAUAACAUAAUCUUAAAUUAUUUAAUCCUGCUGUAAUCUGCCAUUCUUGCUUACCUUAUUUUGUCUCUGCUGGGAUACUUCUACUGAACAGAAUGCUAGAAGCAGCUCUGUUACAGCCAAUUUAUUGUCUGAACAGAGGGCAGGAAGCCAAACCUCUGAAUAAAACAAAAGUCUGACGUGGAUCUAAUCUUCUAGAUCUCUACACACUCUCAUUUAUAUCAACAUUCCAAUGGUUCUAACUAUUCCUGGAAUUACAAAAGGGUCGGAAAUUGUAGGAGCAAACUUUUGAAUGCCUGUUUCUGUAUGAUGCCAUAGAACUGCCUAGAACUGCAUGCAAAUUUUUAGCCCUAGUUUUGUGUAUUUUAUUCCUAUAUUUUAUGUCACUAAUAUUGUUCUUGUUAUCUGUCAUUCUUAUAGGGCUGAAUCACGCGCAGAUACUAGGGUUAUAGUAAUACAGACAUAUUAAAAGUAGGAGUGUAGCCUCUGUUUCAGGGAGCUCAAAACAGACUUACUGCUUAAACAUUUUCCCAGCUAUCAAAUGGGCUUUGCCUGCACGGCAUCAAUUCCCAUACUUGGCAUCAAUUCCCAUGCUUGUGACAUGAGUGAGCUGCUAAAAAUUGGAUGUGAUUCAUGUCUUUGCCCAUGAGGCCCUGGUAAUAUGUAGGUUUUUGUUAUCAAAUUCAGUACAUUCAGUUGGCCUUACCUACCUGUUUGCAUCCCUUCACUCCUAUUGGUGAGUCCUUCCUAUUCAUAUUAUCUAACCCUUUUUUAAUUAGCAAGCCUUGCAUUUUUACAGGAGUGAGUAACAUUUUUAUUUAUCUCACUGAAAUGAGAAAAAAUUCCCUAAAGUCAAUUACAUUUACUUUUUUUUUGGCCAAAGUUUUCUUAAAAUCAAGAAGCCAUUGCUUUUAUCUAGAGUUUGUUUACUAUAUAAAGAAGGUUACAUAAUUUAUCUGUGUUUGAUUUAGGAGAAUUUUUUUUCAUUUUCCAAGCCCUCACCAGACACUGGUAAUGUAUUGGGUCAACAGAAAAACUUUAUUGAAACACAUACUUAGUGACAAAGCAAUGUGAUACUUUGAAAUCUCUAGUCUUUGUCUAUUACCCAAACAGUCUUAAAACGUGGGGAAGUUUCUAAAUGGCAUGGUGUAAGAGUGUCCUUUCAGUACACAAUCGUCCUAAUUUUGUGUGGGAUAAAGUUAAUUUUCAUGCUGAUAUAUGGGAUAAUGUUGUGAUUUAGAUUUAGGAUGAGAAUAAUGUUGAUAGCAGACUGAUGAGUGGAGUGUUAAGCAUUAAGACAAGGACUUUUUCUGUUUCUCACAUCACACUACCAGUGAAGAGUCUGCGAGACAUGAGUAGCUGGGAGGAGACAGAGGUGAUAUAGCUGACCGUGACUGACUGGAAGGAUAUUCCAUACUAUAUAGUGUAAAGCUGAGUAAUAUUAGCUGCAGAAAAAGCUGGCUGGGGGCUUGGGAGCUGGCUCUGUAUCUGCUAGCAGGUGGCUACCAGCCACUUUGUGCAUUACUUGUUUUGCAUACUCUAAUUUUAAUGAUAGUUAUUUUUGUUUCCCCUCCUGUUUCUGGCCUAUUAAGCUGUCUUUAACUCAACAGUGUUUCCCCCAUUUCUCUUACUUAUCCUGAGGUGGUGACAGGGAAGUGAGCAAGUGUUUUGUAUGGUGUUAGCUGCCUGCUGGGUUAAACCACAAGAGUCCAUUUUGGCACCCAACCCAUGGGUGUGAAGGGUUAAGAUAACCACUGCUUUGACAUGCUAAAACAAAUUUGUUAUAAGCAAUUAGUUGCAUUGGUUUAAUAGUUACUGGCCACAAUGUUGACUUAUUUGAUCUCAAUGUUGUUGUGUGUUCUCAGAGUUGCAUUGGGUAACACCUUACUUGCUGUGUUCCCUGCUGUGUCAUUUCUCAGCUCUGGGUUAGGGUUGAUGUUGUUGAGCUUUGUAACAUGGGGUUUUGAUAAGAUGCCUCUUGGCAGGACUGAGGCAGUGUGUACACCCAGCAUCGCUGCUGCACCUGCAUUCCUGUCGGGAAUGACACAUAACUACACCUCCAGGGGUCCAUCCAUGGGAAUGACACUCUCUGCCAUCUUUCCUUUCUCCUCCAGGUGACUUACAACACCUCUUGGAAAGUAUCCCCAGGGUGACCAAACCAGCACCUUUGGAUUGCUAUGACACAUGAAUAUGUCUCAGCUCUUGUGUAAGUUUACACAACUAAGUAAGAACAUCACCCACAGAUCUGCCCUAAGGCUGGAUAGUUAUGAGUGGCAAGGGGUGUGGGAUAGGAUGGGCAAGUGCCUAGGGCAGUAGACAUCUCCCAGUGUUUUAAGACUUCACCUCUAAAAACCUGAGGAAUGCGGAAAAAUGUAUUAAAAUAUUUGGGCAAGAUGAGCUGUCACCCAAUAAUUCCAGAGAGACACAAAUCACUGCAAUGUGCUGGGGCCCGGUCCAGGCUGACCGAGAUCUGUUCAGCAGAGCUCAGUGCCUGCUGCAGGAGGGAAGGUCUCUGGAACUAAGAGCAACGUGACAGAGUCCAAGGCUGAACCAGAAAACCAACCUGUGCCAAUAUUAUCUGAGAUUGUAUGCAAGGAGAAAUACUGGAAGAAGUGUGUGGAAGCAGCUGACAGCUGGUCUGUGAGCGAGGAAGAGUGAGUUAGAAGAAACUGGUAAGAGUUGUGUUUACCCCUGAAAGGAAUUCUGCCAAGGUUGUUGACAUGGAAACUAAGAAGAAGAAAAAGAUAAACGAAAGAAACCUGCAGUUCAGUAUAGCUGGAAACAGUGGUGUAGACUGCUCUGUAACAAAGAACAAUGUGUUGAUUUAUUGUAACCAAUGAAUAAGUAUAAACUUUGUUGGGAAUGUAUAAAAGACAGCAUGCUGUUAUAAUAAAGAGAGAAGCCUUUUGAAA